UACGUAGGGGGCAAGCGUUGUUCGGAAUUACUGGGCGUAAAGGGCGCGUAGGCGGCACGACAAGUCGGGAGUGAAAGCCCGGGGCUCAACCCCGGAAUGUCUCUCGAAACUGUCGAGCUAGAGUGCGGAAGAGGCAACUGGAAUUCCCAGUGUAGCGGUGAAAUGCGUAGAUAUCUGGAGGAAUACCGGUGGCGAAGGCGGCAUCCUGGACCGACAUUGACGCUGAUGAGCGAAAGCUAGGGGAGCAAACGGG
rnacentral:rRNA from 1 species